GGGCCCACGAACGACCAAAAGUAUCAAAAGUGAUAAACCUACAGUUUUUGAGGAUGCAAGUCCAACUGUAGCCCUCAACAAAGUGAGCUAUCUACCGACUAUCUUGAGCCUGAAAUGGGUGGAAAUGAGGGUGGUAAGAUUAUAUAAUCCCGGUGAUUAAACAAAUACCAUCUAAAAUAACUGAAGCUGAUAAAUUGAGAUAGAUUAAAAUAGAUUAUCAUACUGUAAUUCAUCACCUUUCAACUCAUUUCAACCAAAUAAAAUCAAUUCAUAUAAAUCGAGUAAUCAACAUGGCUUAUGAAUUUCUUAAAACUUUAGCUCGUGCCAAAUCAUUCUCAUACUCAGUUAUCAAGGAUACCUUGGCUUGAAGCUAUCCCAACCGAGUCCACCAAGGCUGUUAAAAAGUCAUGUACGCAUAAAUCAUGUUUUGAUUUUGAAAAUAUAGUCGUUCCUUGGCAUUAGCUGAGUUCACCCUCAUGUGGUGGUUUGGCGUGAAGUGAACUUUAAAGUGUUAACCCCAGGAGUUAUCCAUCCGCGCCUUUCAUACUGAGGUAUGAAUAUAAUAGGGUUACCGUGCCCCUUUAAUAGGCUGGUCCACGGAACCAGUCCACUGCAGCGACCAAUAUAUAACCCACCAAUUCAAUAAAAUUUAACAGCAUGACAUGGUAAUUAUUUUAUUUUACAGCCUUUCAAGGCAAAUUAACUGUUCAUACAUUUUCAACACAAAUACCAAUUCAGCCAUUCAUGCAAAUAUUAUCAUAAGCCAUUCAAUUCAAAUCAUGAUUUAUAACACAACAAUUAGUCUCCAAUUACUCCAUUUUCAAAACCAUCAUUCAAUUUCAAGACAAUUUUAUAAAAUCAUUUUCAUUUAAUCCCAUUUUGCUUAUAAAACAUAAAGAUUUAACAUUUAAACUCAUUUUCCAUAAAAUCAUAAAAUUAGAUAAAACCACUUUAGAUAAUUAUGACGAUAGUAAGGUUACUCACUAUUUCGGGAGUCGAAUUCCAAGUACUCCAAUUCUUGAUCCUCGGGUACUAUCUCUUUACUUUUGUCAAAAUGCUCACCACCUAGACAUAAUGCACAAUAAGCCAUUUACUACAUUUGUGCUAAAUUGUUAUAAAACCAAUUCAGGCUCUAUACUAAUGCAUGAAAUGGAAUUCAAAUUGUUCAGAUUAUCGUCUAAACACGAUGUUCUACACAAAUUCAGUUGUGUACCUAAAUAAAACGGUAUUGGCCUAAUUCGAUCUAUCACUCGAUUAAUUGGCCAAUAUGUCCAAUUUAACUCCAAUUAACUCCAUUUUUCUUCCAAUUCUCCAAAUCAUCAAACACAAAUUAAAUAACUUGAAAUAUGGAAAAAUCAUCCUCACAUUUUCUCUUGAAAAAUUCAGCCAUGGUGGGUGCAACAAUACUAUGAUUUUUCCUACUUGAUUCUCACACCAUAAAUCACUAAUUCCUAACCAAAUCACUUGAAAUAAAAUCAAAAUCAUCAUCAAUAUUCCACAUGGAGAAUUCGACCAAUGAUGGGUUAUGGAAGAACAUGAAUUUUUCUUGCUUGAUUUUCAUGCUACACAUCACUAACUAACUAAAAACACUAAAAUACAUUGAAAUCUAACCAAAUCCAAGUUCAAAACUCCUCCCCCCAUGUCCAGCCAACAAGGGUAUCCUCAUACAAACUUGAUUCUCAACCAUGGAAAAUGAAAAAGAAUGCAUAGGAAAGGUAGAUCACAAGCUAGAAUUGAAAAAUCUUACCUUUUUUCACUUGUUUCCUUGAAUUUUCAGACUUUUCCCUUGAAUUUUUCCACCUAGGGUUUUU
rnacentral:lncRNA from 1 species